GGGGACAUAGCUCAGUUGGGAGAGCAACAGACUGAAGACAGAUCUUCUAGAGGUCCCCAGUUCAAUCCUGGGUGUCCCCA